GGUUUACAUAAAUCUUGAGUUUUAAUUCAGAAGAAGAAGAAGAAGGAUGGACGACAGACAAGAAACAGACGAUCGUCAAAACCCCGAGGAUAGGAGAUUUCAGAAUUAUGCCUAUAGACCCCCCUCCGAUGAACUCUCAGAUUUUGCUGGGCAUUUUGUUGAGUCCAGAAAAGAAUUGGCUGAGAAACUUUUUGGUCAUGUGUAUACACUUAGCUUUGAUUCAGAAGGCAUUGGAACUUGUUGAUACGGACCAAUGUUAGAGAGCUUGAUAAUCAUGUUGAUGCGUAUCUUUAUGAUCUGAAAGCUAACUAUUGUAAUCCAGAAAUGUGUUGAAUAUGUUCCUGAAGAGCAUACCGGGG